UACGGAGGAUGCGAGCGUUAUCCGGACUUAUUGGGUUUAAAGGGUGCGUAGGCGGACUGUCAAGUCAGCGGUAAAAUCGAGAGGCUCAACCUCUUCCCGCCGUUGAAACUGGUGGUCUUGAGUGGAUGAGAAGUACGCGGAAUGCGUGGUGUAGCGGUGAAAUGCAUAGAUAUCACGCAGAACUCCGAUUGCGAAGGCAGCGUACCGGCAUCCAACUGACGCUGAGGCACGAAAGCGUGGGGGUCAAACAGG
rnacentral:rRNA from 1 species